rnacentral:rRNA from 1 species
CUUUAUACUGUGAAACUGCGAAUGGCUCAUUAAAUCAGUUAUCGUUUAUUUGAUAGUACCUUACUACAUGGAUACCUGUGGUAAUUCUAGAGCUAAUACAUGCUACAAACCCCGACUUCAGGAAGGGGUGUAUUUAUUAGAUAAAAAACCAACGCCCUUCGGGGCUCCUUGGUGAAUCAUAAUAACUUAACGAAUCGCAUGGCCUUGCGCCGGCGAUGGUUCAUUCAAAUUUCUGCCCUAUCAACUUUCGAUGGUAGGAUAGUGGCCUACCAUGGUGGCAACGGGUAACGGGGAAUUAGGGUUCGAUUCCGGAGAGGGAGCCUGAGAAACGGCUACCACAUCCAAGGAAGGCAGCAGGCGCGCAAAUUACCCAAUCCCGAUACGGGGAGGUAGUGACAAUAAAUACUGAUACGGGGCUCUUUCGGGUCUCGUAAUUGGAAUGAGAACAAUUUAAAUCCCUUAACGAGGAACAAUUGGAGGGCAAGUCUGGUGCCAGCAGCCGCGGUAAUUCCAGCUCCAAUAGCGUAUAUUAAAGUUGUUGCAGUUAAAAAGCUCGUAGUUGAACCUUGGGCCUGGCUGGCCGGUCCGCCUCACCGCGAGUACUGGUCCGGCUGGGCCUUUCCUUCUGGGGAACCUCAUGGCCUUCACUGGCUGUGGGGGGAACCAGGACUUUUACUGUGAAAAAAUUAGAGUGUUCAAAGCAGGCCUUUGCUCGAAUACAUUASCAUGRAAUAAUAGAAUAGGACGUGCGGUUCUAUUUUGUUGRUUUCUAGGACCGCCGUAAUGAUUAAUAGGGAAUAGUCGGGGGCCGUCAGUAUUCAGCUGUCAGAGGUGAAAUUCUUGGAUUUGCUGAAGACUAACUACUGCGAAAGCAUUCGCCAAGGAUGUUUUCAUUAAUCAGGGAACGAAAGUUAGGGGAUCGAAGACGAUCAGAUACCGUCGUAGUCUUAACCAUAAACUAUGCCGACUAGGGAUCGGACGGGAUUCUAUGAUGACCCGUUCGGCACCUUACGAGAAAUCAAAG